rnacentral:rRNA from 1 species
UACGGAGGGGGCUAGCGUUGUUCGGAAUUACUGGGCGUAAAGCGCACGUAGGCGGCUUUGUAAGUUAGAGGUGAAAGCCCGGGGCUCAACUCCGGAAUUGCCUUUUAAGACUGCAUCGCUCGAAUUGUGGAGAGGUAAGUGGAAUUCCGAGUGUAGAGGUGAAAUUCGUAGAUAUUCGGAAGAACACCAGUGGCGAAGGCGGCUCACUGGCCCAUAACUGACGCUGAGGCACGAAAGCGUGGGGAGCAAACAGG